AUAUAAAUAACUUCCACUUGCCAUUUCACAUGACAAGCACUACAUUUCAUUUAUUUAUGGCCUACAACUUAUUAUUUAUGGAUAGUCACAACUGAAGUCUUUAGUUUUUGAGUAUCAUAGAAGAACGACAUUACUUUUUGUAGCGAUAGAACAAAUUGAUCAAUGUUUGACCUUUUUUCAGCUAUUAUUGGAACACUAAGAUGCACAAAAUCAACCUGUAUUAGAGCCAAUGGUCCUUUCCAAACGUGAAAUCUUGCAUGUGUUAUUUAUCAAUUCCAAAAGGUGAUGGUUGUGUUAUUAUGUUAGAAAAGAGGUACUUGUACAAUUUUGCUACUAAUUUUGGCUAAGGGUUUUUCGGUUCUCAUCUCUAUAUGGAUAUGCUUUUUUUAGGUUAGUGGUUUAGGAGUUCCUGCCAAGACUGGCUUUUGGAAUUUAUCCUCGUUUCGCCAGUUGGGCUUAACAAGGACAUAAUUGAUUCUUUGUUGGUAAUUAGAAAAAGAUAUCUGGUUGGAGAAAACUUCUCUUUUGGUUAAUUGAUUGUUUCUGAAUUUUAGUAAUCUUUUUUAGAUUUUCUUUUUUCAGGUUAGUAGUACGGGACUUCCUGUCAAGAACGACUUUUGGAAGUUAUGCUAGCUUCAUCAGUUGGGAUUUCUGUACAGAACUAAGAUAAUUUAUUUUGGUGCUUGCGAUGAGUAUUAGACAGAGGGGUGAUGGACACAUACUUCACCCAGUAUAUUUGUUCAUUUAUGUUGUUAAUUAACUAAUUAGGAAAAAAGCCUCUAUCUGUAUGGUGUUUGUGAUGAUGCUCUCAAUUCACCAAACACUAAAUACCGGGUUGUGCUUUUCAAAUCUAGCAAAUUAAUUUUCUCUAUUGCUUCUUUUCCAAACAGAAGUAUUAGAUCCACUGUGCCAUGAGUCAUACUAUCAAAAUAUUAUAUAAGCCACGCCGGAUGAUUAUAGGUAACUUAUAUCAAGAACUUUGUUUUAGCAGCACAAUUCGGAUAACUUGCAGUUUUAUACCAACGAAAAAACUAUUACAUACCAGAUCAAACAUAGAAGCCAGGCUGAACAUUGCGAUCUUACAGAUCUGCCAAGUGCAUCCUCAUGAAAUAGAUAGUAGCGUCGCUGAUAAAAAAAGUAGAUUGGCCAAUCUAGGUAGCAUCAGAAGUUGUCUCCAUCGGAAAGAACACUGCCUAAUGCCAUCUUCCAGAAAGCUGGACAUGCAAAAAAU
rnacentral:lncRNA from 1 species